UAGGAUCCUUGUGGUGCGGUUUCUGCUAGUGUUUUAGAGCUGGGACUGCGUUGAAUCGGAGUUAACAUGGGAUUGGAACCGUUUGGGUAGGUGAACCUUGGUAAGUGCUCGUAGCUUUAAUCAAUUCAAUACUAGGGAGGUUAAGAAAAGCCGAAACCCCACUAGUUUAGGGAGGUGGCCGAAUAUGGGUAUAGUCCUUAUGGGGUCUUCUUUUAAUAUUUUUUGUGGUUUAUUUAGUGGAGGAGCAGCAAGGUGUAGUGUCGACUUGGGGUAGCGUGGAUCUCCGGAGUGGCUAGACCUAGUCAUCAAUCGCGACAAAGGUAAGAUUCGUAAGGCCAUUACGGAUGGUGGCCGAAUGUGUAAGUAUUAGUAUUAGAUGAUUUUUUGGUUUGGUUCAAUUAUGGGAAGCUGAUUAUUAAAGAUGGAUUAUAGGAGAAAUCGUGUAGGAGAUCUCGUCGAGGAAUAUCGCCAAACAGGUGUGUAACGAACCCUUUUCAUAGCUUAAAGUGAUAAAUGCCGAAAAGCCGAAAUGCCGAAAUUCUGGCAUUUCGAGGACUCGUGAGCAAGAGAACGCUCAUUAGUUAGUUAGAUUCGUUAGACGAUGAUCAGGAACAUUGGAAACGGUAAGAACGUGUUUUUGGCGUUCAUAGUAAGUUUGGCCUCGAGUGGCUGAACUAGGGCCCAGUAGGCUUUCGGGCCCAUUUGGGAAAAAUUGGUAGAAAAUGGAAAUCUGUUAAAAUUGCAUGUUAGAACUGUUAAUACUGUUAUGGGUAUAGUCUAAAUGGGCCUAGAUGACAAAAUCGGCUAAGUAGCGCCCAUUAGGGGUUUUAGGCCCAAUAACUCGAUUUCGCUAAAAAUGGGCCAGAAUCACUGUUUACACUCAUGAAUUGUUAGUAACCGUUAAUGAACAUGGAAACCCUAAUUUUUGGUAAAAUUACAAGAUUACCCUUAUAACAUGAAAAUGACCGUUUUGCCCCUAGGUAAAAAUGGCCAUUAUACCCCUAGGGUUUAUGUAUGUAUUUAAUACAUGGGAUUUUGAUAAACAUGGUAUGUAUGAUAUGCACAUGACAUGUAUGAUAUGCACAUGGUAUGUAUGAUAUGCACAUAAUGUAUUCAUAAAUACAUUGGGUUGGGCUUUUAUAUGGAUGGAGGAAGUGCAAAAGGGCUUAUGCCCCAGUUAUUAAAAGGGCUUUGCCCCAGUUAUUAAAAGAGGCUAGGCCUCCAGUUAUAUGAUCAAGCAGCUAUGCUGCCAAUGGAGAGUUAUGGCGGGGUGGGUAGAGUUAAUCCCCACAUGGUGUGUUAGUUGGUACGGGUGGAGAGUAGUGGAUGGUGGGUUGAGUAGUCUCCCAAAAUGGGCUUGCAUUCUUUCAUUGACAUUAUAUGUGAUAUUGAAAUGGGCCUAUGGGCCAUACCGUUUACAGUAAAGGCUUCGGCCCAGUGUUAUGAAAUAUGAAAUAUGAAAAGGGCUACGGCCCAGUAUAUGUUGAGAUUGGAUUUGGGCUUAGGCCCAACAGGCUGUUAUUGUUUUGGGCUCUGAAAGGGGCUUGUUGCACACUGAGUUGCCAAACUCACCCCCUUUCCUUAACCUCGCAAGUGAGCCUUGAUGUGGGAACUUGGGCCGGAGGGGAUUCAGAGUAGCCACGGUGAUCGCCUUUGGGCUUUUAAACAAGCGUUGGUUUUCGUUAAAUUUCCUUUAAUUAUUAUUUAUUUUUGGGUUGUAUAAGGCCAUUUUAACUUUUCUUUUAUUUCUUUUUGGGGUUAGUUUAUAUUUAAUAACUUUAAACCUGGUUGAUAAUUAUUCAAAUGGGCUAGACUUAGGACGUGUUUGUAAAACGAUACUUGUUUUCAAAAUAUCUCAACACUAUGAUUAAUCGAUUUAUCAAAGGCGUCCACUUAAACAAAUUUAAACUUGGUAUAACAAAGUGUGGUUAUGGUUGUGGGCAUGUCUAGGAUUGGAUCCAAACAAAAAGAGCUUGGUACUUAAGUAGCCUUCAUGGCUCACCUCCUCUGUCUCGGAUACCUACCUGGUGCCCAGCUUCCAUACACCUUGUUAACUCAACAAAAUAUAUGGUUUUUAAAACACUAAAACGGAACGUGGGUUUUCAACUCCAAUGUGGCACGUCAGAUUCGGCCAUAACGUCUGGGCUAGGUUUGAGGUGUUACAUUUAGUGGUAUUAGAGCCUAGGUUGCAACAACUCGGCUGUGGAUCAGGUCUGAAAAUUUUUCCAAACUUAGGCCUAAGAAUGGUAUUUUUGGAAAUGGUUUUUGAAAAGUUCAUUUUAAAGAUGUUUUGCGGAGUAUAUAUGUUAAAAUGGUCCAAGUUUUUCUGUUUUAAACCAAGAGUUUCAAAAUAAAGGGUGUUUUCAAAUCAAAGUUUUUAAAUUUCUAUUUUCGGUGAUCAAAAACAUGGUUUUCGAGUUUUAAAUGGAUUGAGAAAGAAGUGGCGCACUGAAUCCCCGGCACCAAGUCUGUAAGUAUAUUUCCUUUACGAUAUGUGAUAAUGAUAUGAUGCUAUGAAUAGAACUGAGACCCUACUAUGAUACUCUAGAUAGGGUAGAGCUGUAAAACCCUAGAAUACUGAGACUAUAGCUAGGCUUUGAUUCUAUGAAAAUAGAAACUCUAAAAUACUAUCUCUGUAUAAGAUAUAUGAAUAAAUAGUAAAAUAUUUUUUUGAGAUCUUGGUAGUUAUUUGAUAUGUGUACUGGUAAUGUAGAGUAUUGAUAUGGAUUCUGAGGGUAAGCAAAGUCUGCCAACUUCGGGUAGCGAUAACUCGAAGCUUGGUGCUGAGGCACUGGCCGAGUUAGUAAGGAAAGUGGUAGAGGAAGUAUUGAAUACCAAAAUUAAGGAAAUUAGGGAAACGCUUCAAGUAGGGUGCUUGGAGUGUAAGAAAAGGAAGGAUUCUAGUUCUCGGAAAACCAAGCCUCAUUCUGUGAAACAUGUUAAGGCACGACCAAACUUUCCAAUCUGUAAAGACUCCAACAGACGUCAUCCGGGUGAAUGCCAUAGGAAGACAGGAGCACGUCUUAGAUGUGGGUCCAAGGAGCAUCGAGCUCGGGAUUGCCAAGUUUAUUUUAUUUAAAUAUGUGUUACGAGUUGUAUGCGUGCCUGAUAAACAUUUCUUUAUUUCGGUAAUUGGAUGUUCUGGGUCGUAUUAAAAUUAUUUAGAUCAGAGUGCGCAGCGGUAGCAUAGUAGCAUAGUGGUUUGACUUAUACAUUUAGUUGAUAGUUGGAAAUUUCGAGGACGAAAUUUUUUUUAGGGGGAUACAGUUGUAACGCCCCAAAAAUUGGGCCUAGAAGAGUUAGGCUUUGAGUCUGGGAUUCGGAUAGAAGAAAACCUGAAUAAUUAAGAAGUUUUAAUUAUUAUCGUUUAAGAAAGAAUUUUUACUACUAGAAAAUUUUUACUAUAUUUAUUAUUACGGAUAUUUUAAAUUUUUAUGAAAUUUUAAUUAGUAUUAUGAGAUAAAAUUAUUAUUAUUAGAAAAAUAUUACUGUAAGUAUGUUUGAAAAUUUUUUAUGAAAAUUAUUAUUAUUUACUGUAUUAUUGAUAUUUGAAAUUUUUAUAAUUAUUAUUAUAUGGAAAAAAAAAGAAGAUAAUAGUUAUAAAAGUAUUGUUGUUUUGGUGUUUAAACUCUAGGAAAAAAAUUGUUUUAAUUUGGCCUCUUAAGGGAAUCUAGGCAGUAGGCUUCAUUAAUAAAUUAGGGUUGUGUUUUAGCACAAGCAGGCAUCUGGCCCAGUGGCUAAGGACGCUAGGGAGGAGCCUGGGUUUAAGGCGCGGCGUACGCAAUUUGGGGUUUUUUCUUUAAAUAUGCAGAUCGUGGCUAGAAUACGGGUUAAGAGGAGUUGUGGGUAUAAUUUAACAUAAAGAGCACCUGUGGCGCAGUGGCAGCAGCGUACUGGACAUAUGGAGAGGGUGAAGGUUCGAUUCCGUAUGCGAGCGAAUCCUGUUUUAUUUUUAAAGUGGGCCAGAACUGAAGCAGGUAAGGUUUAUAAUCUAUUGUGACCAUAUAUUAGCAAGGAAGGAAGCCUGGUGCAGUAGCUAGCCGCACGGGCAUGGGCGCAAGGCGGAUGGAGGUCUGGGGUUCGAGUCCAGGUGAAGGUAUGUUUUAAUGUUAUAUUUUUAAAAUGGACGGGACUUCAGCAGGUAACCUUUAAGAUAAAAUGUGACAGUAUAUUAUUGAAAACAAAUGCGCGUCCCAGUGGCCAACAACGUGCCGGGCAACCUGGAGGUCCAAGGUUUGAACAGCGUUAUGCGCAAAAGGGCGUUUCUUUUUGCUGAACGUGCGUGGGAAGGACUGUAUAGGAUUGAAACAGUACCAGCUGCAGGAGCAGUCGGCUGAGUGGUGGACUGCUGCUCAGCAGUGGAGACUUUGAAUUAAAUUCAAACUUUGAUUUUGGCCAUGAAUUAAGGAGAAUGAAGGAAUUAAAAUUGGAAAAGGAUAUUAUUUUAUUCUAAUCUUAUCUUAUCUCUUUUUGCUCAUAUUCUUUUCUAUUUUUUCCCAAAAGCUGAACAAUUCUCUCAUUUUUUUUAUUAUUUUCUUUCCUUCUCUCAUCUAUUCCCCUCUUCUCUUUUCUUUCUCCUCUUGCCGGUUGUUCUUAAACUAAUCCCUCUCUCUUUCGUUAUUUCUUCCACAAACUCUCUACCUCUCAUUCUUCCUCUCUUUCAUUUAUAGUAAAAGCCGAACCUAUCAUUCUUUCAUUGCUAAUCGAAUAGAUACAAGCCAAAUCCCGAAGGAGUCAAAGGAAGUCAAUUUCUUUAUAAAGGUAUACACUUGUUCUUUUUCUUUUUAGCUGAUUCUUGUUAUUUUCAAAAGCCUUUCAACUAUUUUGUCAACACCCUUUUUGGUCUAUAACCACUUUUUCUUCAGUGACCCAAAAGUCGAAAGCACAGCACCCUUAGGUGACUUGGUGGCCGAUUCGUAGGAUCCUUGUGGUGCGGUUUCUGCUAGUGUUUUAGAGCUAGGACUGCGUUGAAUCAGAGUUAACACGGGAUUGGAACUGUUUGGGUAGGUGAACCUUGGUAAGUGCUUGUAGCUUUAAUCAAUUCACUACUAGGGAGGUUAAGAAUAGCCGAAACCCCACUAGUUUAGGGAGGUGGCCGAAUAUGGGUAUAGGCCUUAUGGGGUCUUCUUUUAAUAUUUUUUGUGGUUUAUUUAGUGGAGGAGCAGCAAGGUGUAGUGUCGACUUGGGGUAGCUUGGAUCUCCGGAGUGGCUAGACCUAGUCAUCAAUCGUGACAAAGGUAAGAUUCCUAAGGCCAUUAUGGAUGGUGGCCGAAUGUGUAAGUAUUAGUAUUAGAUGAUUUUUGGUUUGGUUCAAUUAUGGGAAGCUGAUUAUUAACGAUGGAUUAUAGGAGAAAUCGUGUAGGAGAUCUCGUCGAGGAAUAUAGCCAAACAGGUGUGUAACGAACCCUUUUCAUAGCUUAAAGCGAUAAAUGCCGAAAAGUUGAAACGCCAAAAUUCUGGCAUUUUGAGGACUCAUGAGCAAGCGAAUGCUCAUUAGUUAGUUAGAUUCGUUGAGAUGAUGAUCAGGAACAUUGGAAACGGUAAGAACGUGUUUUUGGCGUUCACGGUAAGUUUGGCCUCGAGGGGCUGAACUAGGGCCCAGUAGGCUUUCGGGCCCAUUUGGGAAAAAUUGGUAGAAAACGGAAAUCUGUUAAAAUUGCAUGUUAGAACUGUUAAUACUGUUAUGGAUAUAGGCUAAAUGGGCCUAGAUGACAAAAUCGGCUAAGUAGGGCCCAUUAGGGGUUUUAGGCGCAAUAACUCGAUUUCGCUAAAAAUGGGCCAGAAUCACUGUUUACACUCAUGAAUUGUUAGUAACCGUUAAUGAACAUGGAAACCCUAAUUUUUGGUAAAAUUACAAGAUUACCCUUAUAACAUGAAAAUAACUGUUUUGCCCCUAGGUAAAAAUGACCAUUAUAUCCCUAGGGUUUAUGUAUGAAUUUAAUACAUGGGAUUUUGAUAAACAUGGUAUGUAUGAUAUGCACAUGACAUGUAUGAUAUGCACAUGAUAUGUAUGAUAUGCACAUAAUGUAUUCAUAAAUGCAUUGGGUUGGGCUUUUAUAUGGAUGGAGGAAGUGCAAAAGGGCUUAUGCCCUAGUUAUUAAAGGGCUUAUGCCCCAGUUAUGAUAAAGGGCUUAUGCCCCAGUUAUUAAAAGGGCUUUGCCCCAAUUAUUAAAAGAGGCUAGGCCUCUAGUUACAUGAUCAAGCAGCUAUGCUGCCAGUGGAGAGUUAUGGCGGGGUGGGUUGAGUUAAUCCCCACAUGGUGUGUUUGGUUGGUACGGGUGGAGAGUAGCAGAUGGUGGGUUGAGUAGUCUCCCCAAAUGGGCUUGCAUUCUUUCAUUGACAUUAUAUAUGAUAUUGAAAUGGGCCUAUGGGCCAUACCGUUUACAGUAAAGGCUUCGGCCCAGUGUUAUGAAAUAUGAAAUAUGAAAAGGGCUACGGCCCGGUACAUGUUGAGAUUGGAUUUGGGCUUAGGCCCAACAGGCUGUUAUUGUUUUGGGCUCUGAAAGGGGCUUGUUGCACACUGAGUUGCCAAACUCACCCCCUUUCCUUAACCUCGCAGGUGAGCCUUGAUGUGGGGACUUGGGCCGGAGGGGAUUCAGAGUAGCCACGGUGAUCGUCUUUGGGCUUUUAAACAAGCG
rnacentral:lncRNA from 1 species